rnacentral:lncRNA from 1 species
AGAGUCAAGAAGUCUGACAACGGGACCUACAACUGUAUUGCUAGCUCAUCUCUGAAAACGGAGACCAUGGACUUCCACCUGGUUGUUAAAGACAAAGUUCCUGUCAUGCCGAUAGAGCCCAUCAUUGCUGCUUGUGUUGUGGUCUUCCUGACGCUGGCUUUUGCACUGCUUUCUAGGAGGGAAAGAAUAAUGAAGCUCUGCGUGAAAGAGAGUGGCCGGAAUUCAGAAACAGCUCUGUAAGUG